rnacentral:tRNA from 1 species
GGCCGCGUGGCCCAAUGGCAAGGCGUCUGACUACGACGGCGCGCUCUUCGGAGUUCGCCCGUAUAAAUCAGGAGAUCGUGGGUUCGAGCCCCAUCGUGGUCA